AGGGAUUGGCCGGACUGGCUGCUUCAUCGCCACCCGAAUUGGCUGUCAACAGCUGAAGGCCCGCGGGGAAGUGGACAUUCUGGGCAUCGUGUGCCAACUGCGGCUGGACAGGGGCGGAAUGAUCCAGACCACAGAACAGUACCAGUUCCUGCAUCACACGCUGGCCCUGUAUGCGGCCCAGCUGCCGGAGGAGCCCUGCCCCUGAGCCCUGGCGCCCUCCACCAGCCCAGGUGCCAAAGUCCCCCAGGCCUGGGCAGGUGGGUCUGGGAAAGUGGGCCUUGUGAUCUGAGAGACGCCUUGGGUGGGCCUGGAGAAGGGGUGCCCCUCAGGAGGCGCAUGCAGUCACCGGAAGCUACAUCAGCAAGGACUGGGACCAGACUCCAGGUCUUUACCACUGGCCAUUCUUCUGCUUCCUCUAGUAGCCCCAAACGGAUACUUAAGGGACCUCCCGUGUCUCUCUGACCUUCGAGCUAGGAGCUGGCAUUUACGACAGAGCUGAGAAAGGAGCCCAGGAGUCCUGUCUUUCCCAAAGUACUCUGUGAGCUUCAUCUCUCCGUCUAGGACAGGGACAUUAGGUGCUUUGCUGCCAUAGGGAAAAGUAAUCAGAGAAGUUCCUAGAAGCCUCUCCAGCUGUAUCUCCUUCCUGGGGCUGGCAAGAUAGUGAUCCCAAGAUCUUCCGCCUGGGCCCUGCCCAAAAACAGGCCAGAUGCCAGAGCUGGGAAAAGUCCGGUCCUGACCACAGCCAAGUUCUCAACAUCCUAGCAGUGACUCUGUUUCCUCACCCCACAUCCGUGAGGGCUGGAUAACCCGCCGAAGAGAACAAGAACCCAGACUACCCCUGUGCCCACACUUGAGUCCUGGGAUCAGGCUACAGAGGUGACCAGGCCAAGCAGUUGAAACCUCUGGAAGAGGGAAAGUAUGGGGGCCCCUCAGCGGUCCAGAGGGCUACCCCUACCUCCAUAAUUGCCAGCCACUCACCCCAGCUACUCCCUAGGGAGGCCCAGCAUCCUCUGUCUUCUCCUUCCAUGACCUUGGAAGAUCCCGGGGUAGGAGGAGGUACAAAAGAACAAGGAGUGAGGGAGAAACAAAGAGCUUGGCCUGAUUUUAGAAAACCAGCCCCCGGCCCCCACCCCCUGCAUUUGCAGAAGGCACCUGGAGAGCCUGGCUGCUUCCACGAACAAUUGGGUGAACCCAUUCCAUGCAGACCUGGGGCCUCAGACUAAAUUGGGGUCCCUCAUAGUCUAUCCCAGAGAACGAACUCCCUUCAUCAUCUCAGUAUCAACACAAUUUCCAGGGCACCCAAGAUCUAUCUCAGGGCUCACCUACACACCUCCGGGAAGACAUCUAAAUCCUUCGUCCUUGAACCCAAGAUGGGUUGCCUGUGGCGAUGAAGGAAGGCAUCAUCUCUCCGGGCACGCAGCCCCUGCGGUCUGCUUUGGCUGAUGCCGGUUCUCUGCGGAAUCCCCCAAGGAGCUAGAUCCUGGAGAACAGCUGAGCCUCCUCAUUCAUGACAUCUCUUCGGAAGAACCCACAAUGUUGAAUCUGAAGUGAAUUUUCUUAAUGCUUCUGCUUGGUCUCACAGUGGGCUCUCCUGCAGCUGCACCUUGCCUAACCCCUAUGGGAGGCACUCACAGCUUGUGACCGUGAAGCCAGGCAAAGAGUUCUCAAGCGCCUGAUCCUGCCCUAAGCUCACACCCAGCUGGGAGGAAAGCAACUGCAUGAGCAUGGGCCCAGAGGCUCCCCUCCCUGGCACUGUCGCCCCGACCCCGUUCUAGAACUUAGAGAGUAUAAGCUCUAAAAGAGGAACCAAGUGGGAGAAUAAAGGCUUUUUGGAUGACUGA